rnacentral:rRNA from 1 species
GAACGAUAAACACAUAUUACGUAGAAGUAUACCGUAACUACAAGAAGGCUAAACGUCCGUAUAGUUCUAGUUCCUAUAAAUUUGAACAAAGAAAAUAACUACUUUCUAAAGUCUACGAAGACAUCUACUUAAAGACCACAAUUAACAGGGUUUCUACCUUGCUAAACAAGGUGCCUUAAAUAGAGGAAUCAACGUAAGGUAAAUGUCAAGUACAAGUACCGGAACGACACCAACGUGCCACCAAGCACCCCUUGUCCUCGUUUAUGGAAACGAUGUUGGUUCCAGAACUGUUUGGUCAGUCCCUCUCUAUCCUAGCAAAACGUCCCCAACAAUACAAGACAGGGGGCACGGCGACCUGCUCUUUCUCAUCUCCUAGGUCCUUUCGUUGGCGUCCUCGGCCUCUUCUGCAGGGGUCCCGAAGAUGCUCCUGGUUUUCGUAAGGAAAGUCGUUAGACCCCAACAAUUCAUCUCCCAGCCCUAACGGGACCCGUCUACGAAUUCAAGGACCUACAUUUGCGUGUGAACGGAUGUACCCGGUUUUAUAAUAAACUCUAUUACUAUGAACAAAACGUAUAAACGUAGAGCUUCUUCGAACGGGUGAUAACAUCCAGUUGUAAAAGAACGAACGAACACCUUUUUGACCAAGAGCAAGUCAAUACACACAGUCAGACUAUCUUCUACCUGUGGGGAGAAGUUCAACCAAAUACCCGAACGCCUCACACUCUUCAUUCAAUGAUGACCUAGGUGAAAGAACAGUGAUCGGAACGAACUGUACAAGUAAAGAGUGCGAUGUGAAUGGUAGUCUUAAUACACUAAUGUACCUCUAUAUGUAGUCACGAACCGUCAAUAAUUGUAAUACCUUCUUUGAAGAUUAAUAGAACUAAUAGAACGACGGUGAUUGACACAACAUGACUAUUGUGACUAUCCGAAUUGACUACAUAAGUCCAUAUCGACAGUUAUUGAAAAUAGACCUGAAGAGUCUUUAACAAGGGAUCGUUAGCUUACUAAUACAUAACGUACCAAACUAAAGAGUUUAGUAAGACACCAUACGUGCCAAGUUUAAAAGGUAAACCUGUCGUCUCGAUCGGGUGUCACCAUCAUUUUUCGCCUCAUGAGAAAAAUACUGACUGGAUACGCACAAUAAGUGUAAUGCUGUCUGACAAGAUCGACAUUAAUACUUAAACCACAAAAACAGCUAGAACAGACGAAAACAGCACCUAUGACGGAGAUUUGAAGUCCACCCAACAUAACGACUACGGAAUCUUAUACAUAAAACUACACUUGAUUACAGAGAACACACAAGAGGUCACAACUAGAAAACCCUGAUUAAAAAACAUUGACAAAUAUCUCUACAAAUUAAUCAAGGUGUCUGUACGUAUGUACUAAACGCUUCUUUAAUGAAAGAGACGAAACAAGAAAUUUCUACAUAAAAGUUACCGAUAAAUUAUAUCUACGAAGUAAUCAACGUAUUCGUAUAUACUAAGAUACUCGUUUAAUAGAAGUGACUAGAUAAAACCUCUCUACAGACUAAUCGACGUGUUCGUAUGUACCAAGGCAUCCAUUAAACAAAAUGGGACUAGUAGAACGAUAGGUCAACACAACCAUACCAGACUUUGUCUAAGUGUUCAUAAAUACUACUAGCAAACGUACCACCCAGCACGAUCGUUACACGAAACGUAUAUGUGCUAAGUUUAUAAACAAUCCACAAAAUCAAAUGUGUAAAGAGGACUUUUAGACAUAUACACAUACGUCGGUAAAAACUUAACCGAUACUAAGAAAAAUCAUAAAAUCAAAUGUGUAAAGAGAACUCUUAGAAGUGUAGCUUGACAUUAUCAUACAUAUUAUAUCCAAACAUUAAAAAGGUAAUGAACCAAGAACGGGUCCAGAAGACAAAGAUAUGGUAUGACAAGAGCACAGUAAGGGCAAUCAAAAAUAUCCCGGACGUCUAGUCGAGUCAAAUAUAUAUAUACGAAAAUGAGGACUUGUGUCAAAUUACUACAAGUAAGAAAGUCAAAUGCUUUUAGAGACGGAAUAUCCCGGCCAAGUAUAACUGUACCUCCUCCGUGUCUCCAAAUAACGAAGACAAACACCCUACCGGAACUCCCCUCUGGUUUCGUUUGUAGUUGUACAAGUUCCAUGUAUGACUUCCUACAAGACUCCGAUCGUGGACCAAAUCUUCAAAACUUUAAGUGUUGUUAUGGAGUAUUAAAACUAAACUAUAGGUCUUACGAUUAACUUCUUACUCGGAUACUUGACGUAACAUAAAACAUUAUAUAGGAAUAUAUACCACGAACACCGUAAAAAGAACGUUAAUAUUCAAAUUUAAAUACCCAUAAAUAUCUCAGGGGGAAAGAAAAAGGCGUUCCCCGUCAUCGACACGGUAAGCCAAACUUCCUGUUUCUCAACUAGUGUUUCCCCAUCGUAAAUCCUAUAUAUAUGUUCUCAUAUCUUGGUUUAAUAUACUACAUUAACUGGUGAUAAAAAAUAAUUGAAGAGAAUGUGUUACAAGUGCUCAAGUACAUGUAA